GAUGAACGCUGGCGGCGUGCCUAAUACAUGCAAGUCGAGCGGACGGACGAGACGCUCGCUUCUCUGCUGUUAGCGGCGGACGGGUGAGUAACACGUGGAUAACCUACCUAUAAGGCUGAGGUAACUUCGGGAAACCGGAGCUAACACCGGAUAAUAUUUUGAACCGCAUGGUUCAUAAGUGAUAGACGGUCUUGCUGUCACUUAUACGUGGAUCCGCGCUGCAUUAGCUAGUUGGUAAGGUAACGGCUUACCAAGGCAACGAUGCAUAGCCGACCUGAGAGGGUGAUCAGUCACACUGGAACUGAGACACGGUCCAGACUCCUACGGGAGGCAGCAGUAGGGAAUCUUGCGCAAUGGGCGAAAGCCUGACGGAGCAACGCCGCGUGAGUGAUGAAGGUCUUCGGAUCGUAAAACUCUGUUAUUAGGGAAGAACAUAUGUGUAAGUAACUGUGGACAUCUUGACGGUACCUAAUCAGAAAGCCACGGCUAACUACGUG
rnacentral:rRNA from 1 species